AAAAAGAAGAAGAUAAU
rnacentral:sRNA from 1 species